UUGCUUUGGAUUCCUAUCCAAUUUGAAUCCUCUAUCUUACUGCAACCAUGGUCAGUGCCGCGAAGGCUAAUACCGUUGCUGUUCCGGUUGCGUGAGAGUUACCGCUGCUGCCUUGAAACUAAAAGAGAAGAGAGUUGUUACGUUAAAGUAUGCGAUUGCGACAUCGAGUGACACAGGUUUGAAGACGCAAUUUGAAGCUGCGAGCGAUUAGUAGGUUUUCUUUAUGAUUUUAAUUGCUUUCAUAGAGUCCCCUCGCUCUUGUCCUUUGAGGUUUUAUUUUAACAGAGGGGUAGGUGUUGUAGUUGGAUUUAUAUGACUUCUUAUGUAUAAGAGUUACUAUUAAUAAUACUUAUAUGAUUGUUAUUAUUA